GAGGGUGUAGCUCAGUCGUAGAGCGUGUGCUUAACACGCAUGAGGUCCUGGGUUCAAUCCCCAGUGUCUCCA
rnacentral:tRNA from 1 species